rnacentral:ncRNA from 1 species
CGAUACUCAUCGGGGAGCUAUUCAUCGCACAGAUGAAGCUGAGAUUGGGCAAAGCCCAGGACCCGUGUACCUGAACCAGAUAAUGCUGGCGUAGGAAUUGAGUCUGAACAUUUG